rnacentral:tRNA from 1 species
AGAGCAGCAGCUCAGAUGGUUAGAGCAACAGAUUGCUUUUCGUCCUUGGCAAAAAAGGUUCCUGUACAACAUCAAAGUUGUUGGUCGCAGGUUCGAGUCCUGUCUGCUCUU